AUAUAUUUGAGCCAGAAUAUAAUAAAGUAUAGGGUGAAUAGGUAGAUAAGUAUUCAUUAAAGGGAAAGUGUGAGUUUUUAAACAGUCAAUCAAAGGAUGUAUUAGAGGUCUAUUGGGAAUUAACCCAUACCUCUUCCAUCUUCAGAGCUAAACAGAAGUUCCUCUCACUCUCUUGCAGACCUGGCAUGUGUGUUGUGUGAAGUGUUGCCAUAGUAACCCACCGCAACGCUCUUACAGCCGCAGCUUGCUAGAAGAUACUAAAGGAUAUGGAACUAGGAGUCUCCCGGGCUCCCGCUUUAGUAUACUACAUAUACAAAAUUGAGGUAUAGGGCCCAGGCUUGCUUGGACCCACUGGUGAC